rnacentral:lncRNA from 1 species
ACACUCAUCUCGGAGGUGAGGAUUUUGAUAACAGGAUGGUGAAUCAUUUUGUUCAGGAGUUCAAGAGAAAGAACAAGAAAGAUAUCAGUGGCAACCCCAGAGCACUUAGGAGGUUGAGGACUGCUUGUGAGAGGGCAAAGAGAACUCUGUCCUCCACUGCCCAAACCACCAUUGAAAUUGAUUCUUUGUAUGAAGGAAUUGAUUUCUAUUCCACCAUUACCCGUGCCAGGUUUGAAGAGCUUAAUAUGGAUCUCUUCCGG